rnacentral:tRNA from 1 species
GUUCGAUUAGCUCAGUUGGUAGAGCAACUGACUCUUAAUCAGUGGGUCCAGGGUUCGAAUCCCUGAUCGAACACCA